GAGGCACUAGUAAAAAAAUUACCUUGUCUUGUCGAGACAAAAUUGUGGGUUAAACCCCCACGUGCCUUA
rnacentral:tRNA from 1 species